rnacentral:rRNA from 3 species
CACUAACUGGAGGACCGAACCGACUAAUGUUGAAAAAUUAGCGGAUGACUUGUGGCUGGGGGUGAAAGGCCAAUCAAACCGGGAGAUAGCUGGUUCUCCCCGAAAGCUAUUUAGGUAGCGCCUCGUGAAUUCAUCUCCGGGGGUAGAGCACUGUUUCGGCAAGGGGGUCAUCCCGACUUACCAACCCGAUGCAAACUGCGAAUACCGGAGAAUGUUAUCACGGGAGACACACGGCGGGUGCUAACGUCCGUCGUGAAGAGGGAAACAACCCAGACCGCCAGCUAAGGUCCCAAAGUCAUGGUUAAGUGGGAAACGAUGUGGGAAGGCCCAGACAGCCAGGAUGUUGGCUUAGAAGCAGCCAUCAUUUAAAGAAAGCGUAAUAGCUCACUGGUCGAGUCGGCCUGCGCGGAAGAUGUAACGGGGCUAAACCAUGCACCGAAGCUGCGGCAGCGACACUGUGUGUUGUUGGGUAGGGGAGCGU